GGCUCAGGACGAACGCUGGCGGCAGGCCUAACACAUGCAAGUCGAACGGUAACAGGAAACAGCUUGCUGUUUCGCUGACGAGUGGCGGACGGGUGAGUAAUGUCUGGGAAACUGCCUGAUGGAGGGGGAUAACUACUGGAAACGGUAGCUAAUACCGCAUAACGUCGCAAGACCAAAGGGGGGGACCCUCGGGCCUCUUGCCAUCGGAUGUGCCCAGAUGGGAUUAGCUAGUAGGUGGGGUAACGGCUCACCUAGGCGACGAUCCCUAGCUGGUCUGAGAGGAUGACCAGCCACACUGGAACUGAGACACGGUCCAGACUCCUACGGGAGGCAGCAGUAGG
rnacentral:rRNA from 1 species